rnacentral:rRNA from 1 species
CGGCGGACGGGUGAGUAACGCGUGGGUAACCUGCCUCAUACAGGGGGAUAACAGUUGGAAACGGACUGCUAAUACCGCAUAAGCGCACAGUACCGCAUGGUACGGUGUGAAAAACUCCGGUGGUAUGAGAUGGACCCGCGUCUGAUUAGGUAGUUGGUGGGGUAACGGCCUACCAAGCCGACGAUCAGUAGCCGACCUGAGAGGGUGACCGGCCACAUUGGGACUGAGACACGGCCCAA